AUGCCGAUCACGUUCUCGGGACGGCUUCUCCGUCGGCCCCUUCAGAGUCCGUCUCACCGGCGGGGGCGUGGCGGCGAGCUCAGCCAAUUAUCGCCCGGGGGAGGCGGGUUUAUGCAGAUCCUGCAGCGAGGAGGAAGGGGUGGAAGGAGGAAGGGGCGUGGCCUUGGGAGAGGCUAGUUUACAAACAGUGAGUCAGGUGGCUGGGCGUGGACGACGCCCGGCUGGCGCUGGGCUUGCCCCACCCUUCAACUGCGGACCCCCGUAGACGGUUUCUGACGGUUGCUGGGGACUAGACAAAUGGUCGACCUCAGGUGGUCCCCGGAGCCGGGGUGGCACUCUGACCAUCUGUCUCUAAGCUCAUGCAGCCGAGGGGAGCCUUGAACUCCUCACCCUCUUGCUUUUACCUCUCAAGUGCUGAGACCACAGGUAUGAGGGCACCAGAGUGGCAUCCCGCCUUGCCGAAGGAAACAUCUGAGCCCAGCUUGGCUGCCUGCCCCUCAGGGUUGGUUAGCAAGUACUCCAUUUCCAAGGAAGGCCAGAAUAACAAAGGCUUCAACGGCAAAGUAGAAGCAGCCUCGUGUCCCUCCAUGGCCCAACAGAGUGGCUAGCGCUCCAGCCACCACAUACAUCGCUAAACGGAAAGGAGGGACGAAAGGAGGAAGGACGGAUGGCAAUGCUGCUCCACCGGAUGAGUCAGCUCGCCCGAAGAUCUGCCCUCGGAGACGAGGAAUGCUGGGCCGGCGAACCUGUGUAUGACCCCUCUUCCCCACUAUGCCUUGGCUGGUGGGAAGUGGGUUCCUGUCUCUUUUCCCACCCCCGCUCACACGUCACUGGCCGGAACACCGUCCUGUGCUGCUAUGCUGGCAAGGCAGCGGCAUUUUUAGUUGGUGUCACCGGCCUAAAUAAAACAGGCUCAGAGAA